CAGUCGCCACGGUAAUACGAAGGGUGCAAGCGUUAAUCGGAAUUACUGGGCGUAAAGCGUGCGUAGGCGGUUUGUUAAGUCUGUUGUGAAAUCCCCGGGCUCAACCUGGGAACUGCAUUUGUGACUGGCAAGCUAGAGUGUGGCAGAGGGGGGUGGAAUUCCGCGUGUAGCAGUGAAAUGCGUAGAUAUGCGGAGGAACACCGAUGGCGAAGGCAGCCCCCUGGGCCAACACUGACGCUGAGGCGCGAAAGCGUGGGGAGCAAACCGGAUUAGAGACCCCCGUAGUCCCUGUCUCUUAUAC
rnacentral:rRNA from 1 species